rnacentral:rRNA from 1 species
GAACUCGGAUAUAGCUGGUUCUCCUCGAAAUAGCUUUAGGGCUAGCCUCAUAGUAAGAUACGCAGGGGUAGAGCACUGAAUGUUCUAGGGGCCUUCACCGGUUACCGAAAACUAUCAAACUCCGAAUACUGCGCAAUCAUCUAUGGGAGUCAGACUAUGAGAGAUAAGUUCCAUGGUCGAAAGGGAAACAGCCCAGACCUACAGCUAAGGUCCCAAAAUGUAAGUUAAGUGGAAAAGGAUGUGGAGCUGCAUAAACAGCUAGGAUGUUGGCUUAGAAGCAGCCAUUCAUUUAAAGAGUGCGUAACAGCUCACUAGUCGAGUGGCUCUGCGCCGAAGAUAAACGGGGCUAAAACUUACUACCGAAGCUUAGGAUACCUUUUGGUAUGGUAGAGGAGCAUCGUAUAAGAGUCGAAGGUGAACUGUAAGGUAAGCUGGAUUUUAUACGAGAGAGAAUGUUGGCAUGAGUAGCGAGAGGCAGGUGAGAAUCCUGCCCACCGAAAAUCUAAGGUUUCCUGAGGAAGGUUCGUCCACUCAGGGUUAGUCGGGACCUAAGCCGAGGACGAGAGUCGUAGGCGAUGGACAACUGGUUGAGAUUCCAGUACCACCGAAAGUCGUUUGAGUGAAGUGGGGACACAGAAGGAUAGACAGAGCACGCCGUUGGUAGAGCGUGUCCAAGCAGUGAGGCUUGUGCGUAGGCAAAUCCGCGCAUUUUAAGGCUAGGCUGUGAUGGGGAGGGAAAAAAGUACCGGAAGCUGUUGAUUUCACACUGUCAAGAAAAGCCGCUAGCGAGACCGUAGGUGCCCGUACCGCAAACCGACACAGGUAGAUGAGGAGAGAAUCCUAAGGUGAGCGAGAGAACUAUUGUUAAGGAACUCGGCAAAAUUACCCCGUAACUUCGGGAGAAGGGGUGCCAUCGAAAGAUGGCCGCAGUGAAAAGGCCCAGGCGACUGUUUAGCAAAAACACAGGUCUCUGCUAAAGCGAAAGCUGAAGUAUAGGGGCUGACGCCUGCCCGGUGCUGGAAGGUUAAGGGGACUGCUUAGAGCAAUCGAAGGCAUGAACUUAAGCCCCAGUAAACGGCGGCCGUAACUAUAACGGUCCUAAGGUAGCGAAAUUCCUUGUCAGGUAAGUUCUGACCCGCACGAAAGGCGUAACGAUCUGGGCGCUGUCUCAACAAUAGACUCGGUGAAAUUGUAGUACCGGUAAAGAUGCCGGUUACCCGCAGCAGGACGGAAAGACCCCGUGGAGCUUUACUGCAGCUUGAUAUUGGAUUUCGGCAUUGCAUGUACAGGAUAGGUGGGAGACUGCGAACUCAGUACGCCAGUAUUGAGGGAGUCACCGUUGGGAUACCACCCUUGUAAUGUUGAGGUUCUAACUUUGUACCGUGACCCGGUAUGAGGACAGUGUCUGGCGGGCAGUUUGACUGGGGCGGUCGCCUCCUAAAGAGUAACGGAGGCGCCCAAAGGUUCCCUCAGUGCGGACGGAAAUCGCACGAAGAGUGUAAAGGCAGAAGGGAGCUUGACUGCGAGACAAACAGGUCGAGCAGGGACGAAAGUCGGGCUUAGUGAUCCGGUGGUACCGAGUGGAAGGGCCAUCGCUCAACGGAUAAAAGCUACCCCGGGGAUAACAGGCUGAUACCCCCCAAGAGUCCACAUCGACGGGGGUGUUUGGCACCUCGAUGUCGGCUCGUCUCAUCCUGGGGCUGAAGUAGGUCCCAAGGGUUGGGCUGUUCGCCCAUUAAAGAGGUACGCGAGCUGGGUUCAGAACGUCGUGAGACAGUUCGGUCCCUAUCCGCUGUGGGCGUUGGAGAUUUGAGUGGAGCUGUUCUUAGUACGAGAGGACCGGGAUGGACAUACCUCUGGUGCACCAGUUGUUCUGCCAAGGGCAUAGCUGGGUAGCCACGUAUGGAAGGGAUAAGUGCUGAAAGCAUCUAAGUACGAAGCCCCCCACAAGACAAGAUCUCCUCCUUAAAGGUAAGACCCGUGAGAGACUAUCACGUUGA